rnacentral:rRNA from 1 species
GACGAACGCUGGCGGCGUGCUUAACACAUGCAAGUCGAACGAAGAGCGAUGGAAGCUUGCUUCUCUCAAUCUUAGUGGCGAACGGGUGAGUAACGCGUAAUCAACCUGCCCUUCAGAGGGGGACAACAGUUGGAAACGACUGCUAAUACCGCAUACGAUCUAAUCUCGGCAUCGAGGAUAGAUGAAAGGUGGCCUCUACAUGUAAGCUAUCACUGAAGGAGGGGAUUGCGUUUGAUUAGCUAGUUGGUGGGGUAACGGCCCACCAAGGCGAUGAUCAGUAGCCGGUCUGAGAGGAUGAACGGCCACAUUGGGACUGAGACACGGCCCAGACUCCGACGGGAGGCAGCAGUGGGGAAUCUUCCGCAAUGGACGAAAGUCUGACGAAGCAACGCCGCGUGAGUGAUGACGGCCUUCGGGUUGUAAAGCUCUGUUAAUCGGGACGAAAGGCCUUCUUGCGAAUAGUGAGAAGGAUUGACGGUACCGGAAUAGAAAGCCACGGCUAACUACGU